rnacentral:rRNA from 1 species
AUUGAACGCUGGCGGCAGGCUUAACACAUGCAAGUCGAGCGGGGGGAGGUAGCUUGCUACCUAACCUAGCGGCGGACGGGUGAGUAAUGCUUAGGAAUCUGCCUAGUAGUGGGGGACAACAUUUCGAAAGGGAUGCUAAUACCGCAUACGCCCUAAGGGGGAAAGCAGGGGAUCUUCGGACCUUGUGCUAAUAGAUGAGCCUAAGUCGGAUUAGCUAGUUGGUGGGGUAAAGGUCUACCAAGGCGACGAUCUGUAGCGGGUCGGAGAGGAUGAUCCGCCACACUGGGACUUGGACACGGCCCAGACUCCUCCGGGAGGCAGCAGUGGGGAAUAUGGGACAAUGGGGGGAACCCUUAUCCAGCCAUGCCGCGUGUGUGAAGAAGGCCUUUUGGUUGUAAAGCACUUUAAGCGAGGAGGAGGCUACCGAGAUUAAUACUCUUGGAUAGUGGACGUUACUCGCAGAAUAAGCACCGGCUAACUCUGUGCCAGCAGCCGCGGUAAAAC